GACGAACGCUGGCGGCAUGCCUAACACAUGCAAGUCGAGCGAGUUGAUCCCUUCGGGGUGAAGCUAGCGGCGGACGGGUGAGUAACACGUGGGCAACCUGCCUCAUAGAGGGGAAUAGCCUUCCGAAAGGAAGAUUAAUACCGCAUAAGAUUGUAGCUUCGCAUGAAGUAGCAAUUAAAGGAGCAAUCCGCUAUGAGAUGGGCCCGCGGCGCAUUAGCUAGUUGGUGAGGUAACGGCUCACCAAGGCGACGAUGCGUAGCCGACCUGAGAGGGUGAUCGGCCACAUUGGGACUGAGACACGGCCCAGACUCCUACGGGAGGCAGCAGUGGGGAAUAUUGCACAAUGGGGGAAACCCUGAUGCAGCAAUGCCGCGUGAGUGAUCACGGCCUUCGGGUUGUAAAGCUCUGUCUUCGGGGACGAUAAUGACGGUACCCGAGGAGGAAGCCACGGCUAACUACGUGCCAGCCGCCGCGGUAA
rnacentral:rRNA from 1 species